CAUUACUUUACAUGGUGUGUGACCCAUUAGGUUCCUUUUAGUGAGGCAGUGGGCGAUUAGAACUCUUACUAAUUGAUUAUGAAUUGAAACUUACUUUCAAUUCUCCCUUAAGUGAUUAUACACUUUUAGGGCUUCCACAAGCCAUGAGUGACACCUAGCAGUAUGUCAUGGCUACCCAAGCUAAUCAAAAGAGGUUGGAGAACCUAUUUAGCUUGAGAUUACAAUGCAAUACAGUCUUUCUCUAAUACAAUACUCUUGACCACAUUGUUUGGUUUGAUAGUUUAUUCAUGUCUACUACCAAAUGUGAUCCUCUAACUUUUAUGAUUACCUUGAAUAUGAUUUGGAACGACUUCCUAAAUCUCAUUCAUACUCUAGCCAGAGAUUCUUAAUCAUAUCAUAGAGUAUUCUCCCUCGAGGGUUUGAAGGUUAACAAUCCCUUGUUGUGCACUCACAUGCCUCUAUAGUUAAGUGGCUUAAUGGACACCCUCUGAUGGUGUGCCCUUGACACAGUCAAAGAUCAAGGACCUAACCACAAGACAACUAUGAUGCCUCAGGUCAAAUGACUACUUUGCAUUAUCCCAACCUUUAGUUCUGAUGUGACAUGAGUACAAGAACCCAUUGUUGAUCGCAUGUAGUUGACUCAUCCUCUAUUGAGCACCUGCAUACUUGUCUUGGUGUUAGUCACACCAAUGACUCGAGACCAAUCAUUUUCCUAGAGAAAAGAUAGUGUGUACUGAUCUUAACGGACCGUCAAUGUUCAAUUAGCAAUCCUAUGAUUAGGAACGUUUAGGAUAUGUGUAUGAAAGAGAAUGGUCUACUAAACCGAACUUCAUUCGAUCACAUUCUCCCAAUUACAUAUUCCUUGGACUUAUUGUCAAGCAUAUAACAUUUAUAUGAGACAGCUUUAAACAAUAAUCUUUUUUGUUAUAUUAAACUAGAUUAGUUUAACAUGUGAAAUGUUCGUAAAGUAUCAUCAUAUGAAUGACUUUAGGGCACAUUUCCAAUAAUCUCCCACUUGCACUAGAGCCAAUUAGCUUGUCAUUAGUGAUGAUACAUGUACUGAAUUCAUUUCAAAAAUAACUAUAUGGUAUGCAUAUGUUAUCCAUGGAAGCAACCUUAAGAUUAACGAUGUCGCCAUUGGACAUGAUUCUCAAUCAUCUUGUUCAGUCUCUCAGCUGUGUUCUGAUCUUGAUGAGACCUAGAUUCUCUGGCUUGAGCUAUCACCCCAUUAGUGGCAUAAUGUGGGUACACUAGUGACACUUUCUGGUUAGAACCAAAUUGAGAGUUCAGAAAUGAACUUUCCCAUCGAAACAACAUUGUUGUAAGCAACUAUACGGUGAUAUAUUUUGCAUGCAUGAUGGAACACACUAGACUUUUAGUGUUUCCAACCAAAUAUCUCUUUAUUCAUAAUAAAGAGAUAUCCAAUUAUCUCUUCAGUCAUAAUGAAGAGAUAUCCAAUGAAGGAUAUGAUAUUAGAUUCAUAAUCUAAUACGUUUAUGUUUCCGUUCAUUACUAUAAUUCUUCCUCAUUCGUGAGGAGGCUAUCCUUUAGUAUUUCUUAAAUAUGUAAGGACACACUUGACAGUUGCCAUAGUUCUAAUCCUGGGCUUGCACUGAUAUCAUCUUGUACCAAUCUUGGUACAACUCAUAUCAACAUUUUUCAUACAAUAUGAAAUACGUAAAUCACCCUUCUGUGUAUGAUACAGGAUUCUAUUUAUGCUUUAUGUUUCUUUGGGAGUCAAAGGGUACAUUCCCUUUUAAAAGAGGAACUUCCCAGUCUGACUGGAAUUGUCCUUCCAUUUGAAGUUUAUCAUUUGAGGAACUUCCUACAUCUAUCGUCUAUCAAUAGGAAUUGAGAUAAUCCAAUUAUAUCUGGAAACCUAUCAUUAUAGAUUUUUAUCCCAAGUAUAUAGACUAUGUCUCCCAUAUACAUUGUAUUAUUAUAGAACAGUUAAAGUCAUAACUAUAUUGAAGAAGAAUUCCUUUCAUUUCCAAAAUUAAUAUAUCAUAUAUAUGUCCAAAUUUAGGAAUAUGGUUAGCUCCCACUAAUCUUUUGUAAACCUAGUAAACAAAAGAUUGAUUUACAUCUUUACGAGAAAUCAAAUGAUUUGAACUUUUCUCAUAAGACGCUUAUAGCUCCCACUAGCUUGCUGAGAUUCAUGAUGGAUGGAUCUCUACAACUUACACAUCUUAUGAUUCCUAGUAUUAGACAUAUUAUCAAGACUAUCUUGAUAAUGGUUUCGAAAACCCAUAUUAUUUCCAAACAUUGAAUCACCGUUUAGUUGUAGCAAGCAAUCUUUGAAUUAAUUUAAACCAAGACUACGUCAAAGAUGGUUUCUUCCAGGUCAACUAAUCUCUUUGAUUGUAGUCACCUUAAACUACCAAUUAGCUUUGAAGGUUUCAUUUUUUUGGGUCAAAUGGUAUUAUACCAUUUCCUUGAGUAUAUGUCAUACACACAGUCAAUGUAGUCAUAAGGAUCUCCAUUCUUAUUUCUUUCAAAUUAAGAGGUGUAACUCUAUGACAUAGUCCUAAAGUUCAAACCAUUCAUCUGAGAUGGUUUAUAUAUCCUUCUUGACUAUCUUGGAGCUCGUGGUGUAUGAACUAGGUUGUAACAUUUUUUGAGUAUCAUCUUGUCUCUCAAAGAACCCAUUCUUUGAGUUCUCUCUCAUUCGUUUGCUCUAUCUUAGGAAAAUCCUAUUGUAGGAUUACAAUGAACUAUCCAACAAACAACAUUUGUUAGUCAGUUUUUAGAAGUGAUAUCCAACAAGAUAAUGCUAAUACAAACAUUGCCCUUUUAGCAAACAUGCAUUAAGUCAAUUAACAUAUGCAUGAUGACCCCACAUCUUAACUUGAUUAAGACUUGUCUUUCUUUCCAAUUACAUCCUAUGGAGUGAUGAGACAUUUUGGAAGAUAUUCUAAUUGACAAUCAUUUUGUCUUAUAAGUGUAUAUCCUAUGUAUGGGUAAUUUGAUAAUAUUUAAUGAACCACAUCUUACUCGAGUUUGUUCUUCUCCCAACGGAGAAAUCCAUUAUCUUAUGACACUACUUUCCUUGACACCUUUCAAGGAAACUCUUCUAAAGCGCUCUUUUCCUUCGAUCAAAUCUAAAAAGGUAAGUACUUUAGACGUCUUACUCAGUAACUUACAUUCUUGAAUUCUUUGAAACCUUUUGCAAAGUAUUCAGACUUGUGUUUAUUUAAAAUACACAAUAGUCCAACCGAGAGUGAUCUUCGGUGAAAGCCAUACAACAUGAGUAGUAUUAUGUUGUGGACAAGUGCCAUUAACAUCUAAGUGAAUUAACCUCAACAACUUUGUGACUCUUUCCUCUUUCCAAAAGAAUAAAGAUUUGAACAUUUCACCUCUAUACAAGUUUAACAAGACGGCAUUGGAUCCGAAUCUAACGAUCCAAAGCAUCCAUCUAUGACCAACUUGCAAUUUAUGUUUUCGAGGUGUCACAACUCAAUAGGGUUAGUGACUACCUUGUAACCUUUUGGGUUUUAAGCAUCGUUAUACUCUAAACAGUUAACACUGCCACAUCAUCUCUACAAUAUAGAGACAAUUAAUUGGAUUACAAUAAUCCAUUCAUUCAUUAUUACAGAACAAUGUUUAGUCAAACAAAACAUUCAUCCAUCUCUUAAAACUAUAGUGACGGAAUUAAGUUCCUUAUUCAAAUUGGAAUGUAAAGACAAUCUUUGUUUUUCCAAUUUCUUUGGUAGUUCAUAUGAGGAAGUAAGUACUACCUACUUUCGCAGAGAUCUAUAUCUUUAUUCACGUUCCGAAUGUGAAGUACUUUCUCUUCUCACAUAAAUCUUCUACUUCUUGUUAGUUAGUCUUUUACAAUGAUUGUAAAACAUAGUUACUAAUACAUAAUUAAACAUUCAAGUAGAAAAACUUACUACUUUGAACUUUUUGAUAGGAGCAUAUUUAUGCGACUUAGUUGGCUUGUUCUUGUGCAUUUAUGUCGUGUUUCCUUAGUUAUGUUAAUGUUUAAAGUCAUUUUCGUGUGUUUUCAGAUUUGAUGGACAAAGUAGGCAAGAAGAUGCAUUUUGGAGCAUUUUGGAGCAAAAUGGAGCUUGGAAUGC
rnacentral:lncRNA from 1 species